rnacentral:ncRNA from 1 species
GAUAGAGGAGUUCGCCGAGCGAUGACAACCAGGAGGUGGGCUUGGAAGUAGCCAUGCUUUGAAGAAAGCGUAAUAGCUCACUGGUCUAGCUCCAUGGCACCGAAAAUGUAUCAGGGCUCAA